rnacentral:rRNA from 1 species
UACAGAGGUCUCAAGCGUUGUUCGGAUUCAUUGGGCGUAAAGGGUGCGUAGGCGGCGAGGUAAGUCGGAUGUGAAAUCCCGGGGCUUAACCCCGGAACUGCAUUCGAUACUGCCUCGCUCGAGUACUGGAGAGGAGACUGGAAUUUACGGUGUAGCAGUGAAAUGCGUAGAUAUCGUAAGGAAGACCAGUGGCGAAGGCGGGUCUCUGGACAGUUCCUGACGCUGAGGCACGAAGGUCAGGGGAGCAAACGGG